rnacentral:rRNA from 1 species
AACGAUACGUAGCCGACCUGAGAGGGUGAUCGGCCACACUGGAACUGAGACACGGUCCAGACUCCUACGGGAGGCAGCAGUAGGGAAUCUUCCGCAAUGGGCGAAAGCCUGACGGAGCAACGCCGCGUGAGUGAUGAAGGUCUUCGGAUCGUAAAACUCUGUUAUUAGGGAAGAACAAACGUGUAAGUAACUGUGCACGUCUUGACGGUACCUAAUCAGAAAGCCACGGCUAACUACGUGCCAGCAGCCGCGGUAAUACGUAGGUGGCAAGCGUUAUCCGGAAUUAUUGGGCGUAAAGCGCGCGUAGGCGGUUUUUUAAGUCUGAUGUGAAAGCCCACGGCUCAACCGUGGAGGGUCAUUGGAAACUGGAAAACUUGAGUGCAGAAGAGGAAAGUGGAAUUCCAUGUGUAGCGGUGAAAUGCGCAGAGAUAUGGAGGAACACCAGUGGCGAAGGCGACUUUCUGGUCUGUAACUGACGCUGAUGUGCGAAAAGCGUGGGGAUCAAACAGGAUUAGAUACCCUGGUAGUCCACGCCGUAAACGAUGAGUGCUAAGUGUUAGGGGG